GGUUGUGAAAAUGCUACGAAAUUUAGAUUAUAUUUAUCUGGGGUCUACAACCAAAGGAUGAUGGGACAUGCAACAAACUACUUUUUCAAUUUGAUUGUAAAGUAAAAUGGCUGUUUUUUUUUGGGUUUUUUUUUUUUAGCAUCUCUGUUCAAACGUACUUUGGUCUAAUAUUUUCAGGUUCUCUUUGGAUUGCCAAAUAAUAUUAUAAUCACCUAAUUGAAUGUUCAAAUUAUUUUGCAGUGAUGUUCUGUAUGGAAGAAAGACAGUAAUAAAAUCCAACAGUUCCGGAUGGCCCGUUAAACUAAUUGCUUAACAUCAAUAACGAUGUAAGAUUCAAGUGUCUGAUCCAGCACAAGUUUAGCCAGAUUUUCCACACUAGACAGUGUCUGGCAUUGAAAGGAUAUCAAACUGAUGUUUUAUGGAAUGAUUCUCACGUACAUAUGACAAUCAUAUGCAUAGGAAUGUGGAGCUAGACUCUUUCAUGCAACAAUUUUUAUUUUCCAAUAUAAAC
rnacentral:lncRNA from 1 species